rnacentral:rRNA from 2 species
GCUUAGAAGCAGCCAUCAUUUAAAGAAAGCGUAAUAGCUCACUGGUCGAGUCGGCCUGCGCGGAAGAUGUAACGGGGCUAAACCAUGCACCGAAGCUGCGGCAGCGACACUGUGUGUUGUUGGGUAGGGGAGCGUUCUGUAAGCCUGUGAAGGUGGCCUGUGAGGGUUGCUGGAGGUAUCAGAAGUGCGAAUGCUGACAUAAGUAACGAUAAAGCGGGUGAAAAGCCCG